CCUACGGGAGGCAGCAGUGAGGAAUAUUGGACAAUGGGCGCAAGCCUGAUCCAGCCAUGCCGCGUGCAGGAAGAAGCAUCUAUGGUGUGUAAACUGCUUUUGUACAGGAAGAAACACUCCCUCGUGAGGGAGCUUGACGGUACUGUAAGAAUAAGGACCGGCUAACUCCGUGCCAGCAGCCGCGGUAAUACGGAGGGUCCGAGCGUUAUCCGGAAUCAUUGGGUUUAAAGGGUCCGUAGGCGGUUUAAUAAGUCAGUGGUGAAAUCUGGUCGCUCAACGAUCAAACGGCCAUUGAUACUGUUAGACUUGAAUUAUAAGGAAGUAACUAGAAUAUGUAGUGUAGCGGUGAAAUGCUUAGAUAUUACAUGGAAUACCAAUUGCGAAGGCAGGUUACUACUUAUGGAUUGACGCUGAUGGACGAAAGCGUGGGGAGCGAACAGGAUUAGAUACCCUGGUAGUCCACGCCGUAAACGAUGGAUACUAGCUGUUCGGAGCAAUCUGAGUGGCUAAGCGAAAGUGAUAAGUAUCCCACCUGGGGAGUACGUUCGCAAGAAUGAAAACUCAAAGGAAUUGACGG
rnacentral:rRNA from 1 species